rnacentral:sRNA from 1 species
GCUGGGCAUGGUGGCGCAUGCCUGUAAUCCCAGCUACUCAGGAGGCUGAGGCAGGAGAAUCGCUUCUACCCAGGAGGUGGAGGUUGCAGUGAGCUGAGUUCGUUCCACUGCACUCCAACCUGGGCAACAGAGUGAGACUUUGUCUCAA